GGGUGAGUAACACGUAUCCAACCUGCCGUCUACUCUUGGCCAGCCUUCUGAAAGGAAGAUUAAUCCAGGAUGGGAUCAUGAGUUCACAUGUCCGCAUGAUUAAAGGUAUUUUCCGGUAGACGAUGGGGAUGCGUUCCAUUAGAUAGUAGGCGGGGUAACGGCCCACCUAGUCAACGAUGGAUAGGGGUUCUGAGAGGAAGGUCCCCCACAUUGGAACUGAGACACGGUCCAAACUCCUACGGGAGGCAGCAGUGAGGAAUAUUGGUCAAUGGGCGAUGGCCUGAACCAGCCAAGUAGCGUGAAGGAUGACUGCCCUAUGGGUUGUAAACUUCUUUUAUAAAGGAAUAAAGUCGGGUAUGCAUACCCGUUUGCAUGUACUUUAUGAAUAAGGAUCGGCUAACUCCGUGCCAGCAGCCGCGGUAAUACGGAGGAUCCGAGCGUUAUCCGGAUUUAUUGGGUUUAAAGGGAGCGUAGAUGGAUGUUUAAGUCAGUUGUGAAAGUUUGCGGCUCAACCGUAAAAUUGCAGUUGAUACUGGAUGUCUUGAGUGCAGUUGAGGCAGGCGGAAUUCGUGGUGUAGCGGUGAAAUGCUUAGAUAUCACGAAGAACUCCGAUUGCGAAGGCAGCCUGCUAAGCUGCAACUGACAUUGAGGCUCGAAAGUGUGGGUAUCAAACAGGAUUAGAUACCCUGGUAGUCCACACGGUAAACGAUGAAUACUCGCUGUUUGCGAUAUACGGCAAGCGGCCAAGCGAAAGCGUUAAGUAUUCCACCUGGGGAGUACGCCGGCAACGGUGAAACUCAAAGGAAUUGACGGGGGCCCGCACAAGCGGAGGAACAUGUGGUUUAAUUCGAUGAUACGCGAGGAACCUUACCCGGGCUUAAAUUGCACUCGAAUGAUCCGGAAACGGUUCAGCUAGCAAUAGCGAGUGUGAAGGUGCUGCAUGGUUGUCGUCAGCUCGUGCCGUGAGGUGUCGGCUUAAGUGCCAUAACGAGCGCAACCCUUGUUGUCAGUUACUAACAGGUGAUGCUGAGGACUCUGACAAGACUGCCAUCGUAAGAUGUGAGGAAGGUGGGGGGAUGACGUCAAAUCAGCACGGCCCUUACGUCCGGGGCUACACACGUGUUACAAUGGGGGGUACAGAGGGCCGCUACCACGCGAGUGGAUGCCAAUCCCUAAAACCCCUCUCAGUUCGGACUGGAGUCUGCAACCUGACUCCACGAAGCUGGAUUCGCUAGUAAUCGCGCAUCAGCCA
rnacentral:rRNA from 1 species